rnacentral:rRNA from 1 species
UACGGAGGGGGCUAGCGUUGUUCGGAAUUACUGGGCGUAAAGCGCACGUAGGCGGACCAUCAAGUUGGGGGUGAAAUCCCGGGGCUCAACCCCGGAACUGCCUCCAAAACUGCUGGUCUGGAGGUCGAGAGAGGUGAGUGGAAUUCCGAGUGUAGAGGUGAAAUUCGUAGAUAUUAGGAAGAACACCGGUGGCGAAGGCGGCCCACUGGUCCGGUACUGACGCUGAGGUGCGAAAGCGUGGGGAGCAAACAGG